rnacentral:rRNA from 1 species
UGAGGAAUAUUGCACAAUGGGCGCAAGCCUGAUGCAGCAACGCCGCGUGAGGGACGAAGGCCUUCGGGUCGUAAACCUCUUUUCUGGGGGACGAGUAAGGACGGUACCUCAGGAAUAAGUCUCGGCUAACUACGUGCCAGCAGCCGCGGUAAAACGUAGGAGGCGAGCGUUAUCCGGAUUUACUGGGCGUAAAGCGUACGCAGGUGGCUUCGUGAGUCGGACAUGAAAGCUCCUGGCUUAACUGGGAGAGGUUGUUCGAUACUGCGGGGCUUGAGGUUGGGAGAGGGACGUGGAAUUCCCGGUGUAGUGGUGGAAUGCGUAGAUAUCGGGAGGAACACCAGUGGCGCAAGCGGCGUCCUGGCCCACACCUGACGCUGAGGUACGAAAGCGUGGGUAGCAA